rnacentral:rRNA from 1 species
AGGGUUUGAUCAUGGCUCAGAACGUACGCUGGCGGCACGCCUAACACAUGCAAGUCGAACGAAGUAGCAAUACUUAGUGGCAGACGGGUGAGUAACAUGUAGGUAUCUACCCUUUGGCCUGGAAUAACACGAGGAAACUUGUGCUAAUACCGGAUAAGUCUUUACGGAGAAAGCUUUAUGCACCAUUGGAUGAGCCUGCACUUGAUUAGCUUGUUGGUAAGGUAAUGGCUUACCAAGGCUUUGAUCAAUAGCUGAUUUGAGAGGAUGAUCAGCCACAUUGGGACUGAGACACGGCCCAAACUCCUACGGGAGGCAGCAGUGGGGAAUCUUGCACAAUGGAGGAAACUCUGAUGCAGCGAUGCCGCGUGAGUGAAGAAGGCCUUUGGGUUGUAAAGCUCUUUCGUCGGGGAAGAAAAUGACUGUACCCGAAUAAGAAGGUCCGGCUAACUUCGUGCCAGCAGCCGCGGUAAUACGAAGGGACCUAGCGUAGUUCGGAAUUACUGGGCUUAAAGAGUUCGUAGGUGGUUGAAAAAGUUGGUGGUGAAAUCCCAGAGCUUAACUCUGGAACUGCCAUCAAAACUUUUCAGCUAGAGUUUGAUAGAGGAAAGCAGAAUUUCUAGUGUAGAGGUGAAAUUCGUAGAUAUUAGAAAGAAUACCAAUUGCGAAGGCAGCUUUCUGGAUCAUUACUGACACUGAGGAACGAAAGCAUGGGUAGCGAAGAGGAUUAGAUACCCUCGUAGUCCAUGCCGUAAACGAUGUGUGUUAGACGUUGGAAAUUUAUUUUCAGUGUCGCAGCGAAAGCGAUAAACACACCGCCUGGGGAGUACGACCGCAAGGUUAAAACUCAAAUGAAUUGACGGGGACCCGCACAAGUAGUGGAGCAUGUGGUUUAAUUCGAAGAUACGCGCAGAACCUUACCAACACUUGACAUGUUCGUCGCGACUUUAAGAGAUUAAAGUUUUCGGUUCGGCCGGACGAAACACAGGUGCUGCAUGGCUGUCGUCAGCUCGUGUCGUGAGAUGUUGGGUUAAGUCCCGCAACGAGCGCAACCCUCACUUUUAGUUGCCAUCAUUAAGUUGGGCACUCUGAAAGAACUGCCAGUGAUAAGCUGGAGGAAGGUGGGGAUGACGUCAAGUCCUCAUGGCCCUUACGUGUUGGGCUACACACGUGCUACAAUGGUAUUUACAAAAGGAAGCAAGACGGCGACGUUAAGCAAAUCCUUAAAAAAUACCUCAGUUCGGAUUGCACUCUGCAACUCGAGUGCAUGAAGCUGGAAUUACUAGUAAUCGUGGAUCAGCGUGCCACGGUGAAUGCGUUCCCGGGUCUUGUACACACCGCCCGUCACACCAUGGGAGUUGGUUCUACCUUAAGGCAAGGUUUAAAACCCUUGACCACGGUAUAGUCAGCGACUGGGGUGAAGUCAUAACAAGGUAACCGUAUAGGA